rnacentral:rRNA from 1 species
GACGAACGCUGGCGGCGUGCCUAAUACUUGCAAGUAGAACGCUGAAGAGAGGAGCUUGCUCUUCUUGGAUGAGUUGCGAACGGGUGAGUAACGCGUAGGUAACCUGCCUGGUAGCGGGGGAUAACUAUUGGAAACGAUAGCUAAUACCGCAUGAUAUUAAUUGUCGCAUGAUAAUUAAUUGAAAGAUGCAAUUGCAUCACUACCAGAUGGACCUGCGUUGUAUUAGCUAGUUGGUGAGGUAACGGCUCACCAAGGCGACGAUACAUAGCCGACCUGAGAGGGUGAUCGGCCACACUGGGACUGAGACACGGCCCAGACUCCUACGGGAGGCAGCAGUAGGGAAUCUUCGGCAAUGGGGGGAACCCUGACCGAGCAACGCCGCGUGAGUGAAGAAGGUUUUCGGAUCGUAAAGCUCUGUUGUAAGAGAAGAACGGGUGUGAGAGUGGAAAGUUCACACUGUGAC